GACGUAGGGGGCGAGCGUUGUCCGGAUUCAUUGGGCGUAAAGAGCGCGUAGGCGGCCCGGAAAGUGGGGUGUGAAAUUUCGGAGCUUAACUCCGAAACUGCAUUCGAUACUGCCGUGCUUGAGGACUGGAGAGGAGACUGGAAUUUACGGUGUAGCGGUGAAAUGCGUAGAUAUCGUAAGGAAGACCAGUGGCGAAGGCGGGUCUCUGGACAGUUCCUGACGCUGAGGCACGAAGGCCAGGGGAGCAAACGGG
rnacentral:rRNA from 1 species